rnacentral:misc_RNA from 1 species
AGCAGCCGCGGUAAUUCCAGCUCCAAUAGCGUAUAUUAAAGUUGUUGCAGUUAAAAAGCUCGUAGUUGAAUUUCGGGGUCUGUCCGUCGGUCGGGCUUCACAGUCCGUACUGGUGUGAUGGGUUCCUACCUUCUGAAUAACCGGCAUGCCAUUCAGUUGGUGCGCCGGGGAAGCAGAGCUAUUACCUUGAAAAAAUUAGAGUGCUUAAAGCAGGCUAGUGCUUGAAUAGAUUAGCAUGGAAUAAUAAAAUAGGACGGCAUGGUUCUAUUUUGUUGGUUUCUAGGAUCACCGUAAUGAUUAAUAGGGAUAGUUGGGGGCAUUAGUAUUCAAUUGUCAGAGGUGAAAUUCUUGGAUUUAUUGAAGACUAACUUCUGCGAAAGCAUUUGCCAAGGAUGUUUUCAUUAAUCAAGAACGAAAGUUAGGGGAUCGAAGACGAUCAGAUACCGUCGUAGUCUUAACCAUAAACUAUGCCGACUAGGGAUCGGACGAUG